AUCAAGAAGAACAUUGUGAAGAAGUGCCUGGAGCUGUUUGCCGAGGUGGCGGAGAACAAGGACGACUACAACAAGUUCUACGAGUCGUUCGGCAAGAACCUGAAGCUGGGCGUGCACGAGGACAGCCAGAACCGCGCCAAGCUGGCGGACCUGCUGCGCUACCACUCAACCAAGAGCGGCGAGGAGACCACCAGCCUCAAGGACUACGUGACCCGCAUGAAGGAGGGCCAGAAGGCCAUCUACUACAUCACCGGCGAGAGUCGCAAGGCGGUGGAGAACUCGCCCUUCCUGGAGCGGCUCAAGAAGAUGGGCUACGAGGUGCUGUUCAUGGUGGACCCCAUUGACGAGUACGCCGUGCAGCAGCUCAAGGAGUACGACGGUGGGUGCUGGGUGGGGUGCUGGGUUGCGGGGGGCAGUGGACGGCGUCCGCGCGGAGCGGUGGGACGGAUAGGAGGCAGGGCGUAAUGAGGGGAGGGAUUGGGGAUAAAGGACAGAACUUGAAGCGGCAAAUGGAUGGUCGUAUUGUGUGUUCAGCAUAUGCUGUGCCUACCGCAUGUGCUCUCGCUUGCACUUCUGGCGGACCGGCUGACUGAACGAUGCCUUCUCCCUCGCCUUGCCCCCUCCCAUCCCCCCUGCGAUAUGCAGGCAAGAAGCUGGUGUGCUGCACCAAGGAGGGCCUGGACCUGGACGAGAGCGAGGAGGAGAAGAAGCGCAAGGAGGAGCUGGCCAGCCAGUUCGAGCCGCUGUGCCGCCUGAUGAAGGACAUCCUGGGCGACAAGGUGGAGAAGGUCAUGGUCAGCCACCGCGUGGUGGACAGCCCCUGCGUGCUGGUGACUGGCGAGUACGGCUGGUCCGCCAACAUGGAGCGCAUCAUGAAGGCGCAGGCGCUGCGCGACAACUCCAUGGCCGCCUACAUGACCUCCAAGAAGACGCUGGAGAUCAACCCCGAGAACGCCAUCAUGAAUGUGAGUGCGCUGUUGGUGGCGGUGGCGUCGUCCUGGGGCGGGGGCGGGGGGGUCGGUGGUGUCAUGUGCGGGGGUCGGCUGGGCUGCACGGGCGGGGGAUUGCGGCUGUGGAGCUUGGAAAGGGCUGUGUACGCUGUGAACGGGGGGCUCACUAGCUUGCCGCUGGUCGCGUGCGGUCAUGCAUCGCAUUCCGCCUCAGUUCCUGGUCUUACCCCUACCCUCCUCCCGCACACUCCUCUGCCCCCUCCUCCCACAGGAGCUGAAGAAGCGCUCUGACGCGGACAAGUCGGACAAGACCGUGAAGGACCUGGUGCUGCUGCUGUUCGAGACCGCGCUGCUGUCGUCGGGCUUCUCGCUGGACGAGCCCAACACCUUCGCCAGCCGCAUCCACCGCAUGAUCAAGCUGGGCCUGUCCAUUGACGAGGAGGUGGAGGAGGGCCUGGGCGCCGCCGACGACGACCUGCCGCCGCUGGAGGAGGACGCCGCCGCGGGCGAGGGCAGCCGCAUGGAGGAGGUCGACUAAGCGGCUAGCAAGGACUGGCAGGCAUUAGCGGCGGGUGGAUAGGGAGGUGGGAUGAGGGCUCUGCCCUGGUGUGCCCCCGGUCUGGGGGAUGGAGGGGGGCAUGAACCGAGAGCUCGACUGCUCGUUAGCUUAGCAGCAGUGAAGCGGUGCGGCUUAGAUGUGAACAUACGC
rnacentral:lncRNA from 1 species